CCUACGGGAGGCAGCAGUGAGGAAUAUUGGUCAAUGGGCGCGAGCCUGAACCAGCCACGUAGCGUGAAGGAUGACUGCCCUACGGGUUGUAAACUUCUUUUAUAAAGGAAUAAAGUGAGGCACGUGUGCCUUUUUGUAUGUACUUUAUGAAUAAGGAUCGGCUAAAUCCGUGCCAGCAGCCGCGGUAAUACGGAGGAGCCGAGCGUUAUCCGGAUGUAUUGGGUUUAAAGGGAGCGGAGAUGGGUUGUUAAGUCAGUUGUGAAAGUUUGCGGCUCAACCGUAAAAUUGCAAUUGAUACUGGCAGCCUUGAGUACAGUUGAGGUAGGCGGAAUUCGUGGUGUAGCGGUGAAAUGCUUAGAUAUCACGAAGAACUCCGAUUGCUAAGGCAGCUUACUAAACUGCCACUGACAUUGAUGCUCGAAAGUAUGGGUAUCAAACAGGAUUAGAUACCCUAGUAGUC
rnacentral:rRNA from 1 species